rnacentral:rRNA from 1 species
CUAGAGACCGGCGCACGGGUGCGUAACGCGUAUGUAAUCUACCUUUUACAGAGGGAUAGCCCAGAGAAAUUUGGAUUAAUACCUCAUAGUAUAUAGCCCUGGCAUCAGGAUUAUAUUAAAGUCACAACGGUAAAAGAUGAGCAUGCGUCCCAUUAGCUAGUUGGUAAGGUAACGGCUUACCAAGGCUACGAUGGGUAGGGGUCCUGAGAGGGAGAUCCCCCACACUGGUACUGAGACACGGACCAGACUCCUACGGGAGGCAGCAGUGAGGAAUAUUGGACAAUGGGCGCAAGCCUGAUCCAGCCAUGCCGCGUGCAGGAUGACGGUCCUAUGGAUUGUAAACUGCUUUUAUACGAGAAGAAACACUCCUUCGUGAAGGAGCUUGACGGUAUCGUAAGAAUAAGGAUCGGCUAACUCCGUGCCAGCAGCCGCGGUAAUACGGAGGAUCCAAGCGUUAUCCGGAAUCAUUGGGUUUAAAGGGUCCGUAGGCGGUUUAAUAAGUCAGUGGUGAAAGCCCAUCGCUCAACGGUGGAACGGCCAUUGAUACUGUUAGACUUGAAUUAUUAGGAAGUAACUAGAAUAUGUAGUGUAGCGGUGAAAUGCUUAGAGAUUACAUGGAAUACCAAUUGCGAAGGCAGGUUACUACUAAUUGAUUGACGCUGAUGGACGAAAGCGUGGGUAGCGAACAGGAUUAGAUACCCUGGUAGUCCACGCCGUAAACGAUGGAUACUAGCUGUUGGAAGCAAUUUCAGUGGCUAAGCGAAAGUGAUAAGUAUCCCACCUGGGGAGUACGUUCGCAAGAAUGAAACUCAAAGGAAUUGACGGGGGCCCGCACAAGCGGUGGAGCAUGUGGUUUAAUUCGAUGAUACGCGAGGAACCUUACCAAGGCUUAAAUGUAGAUUGACCGGUUUGGAAACAGAUCUUUCGCAAGACAAUUUACAAGGUGCUGCAUGGUUGUCGUCAGCUCGUGCCGUGAGGUGUCAGGUUAAGUCCUAUAACGAGCGCAACCCCUGUUGUUAGUUGCCAGCGAGUCAUGUCGGGAACUCUAAC